rnacentral:rRNA from 1 species
GAUGAACGCUGGCGGCGUGCUUAACACAUGCAAGUCGAACGAAGCAUUUGCGACAGAUUUUUUCGGAAUGAAGUUGCUUAUGACUGAGUGGCGGACGGGUGAGUAACGCGUGGGUAACCUGCCUUGUACUGGGGGAUAGCAGCUGGAAACGGCUGGUAAUACCGCAUAAGCGCACAAUGUUGCAUGACAUGGUGUGAAAAACUCCGGUGGUAUAAGAUGGACCCGCGUCUGAUUAGCUAGUUGGUGAGAUAACAGCCCACCAAGGCGACGAUCAGUAGCCGACCUGAGAGGGUGACCGGCCACAUUGGGACUGAGACACGGCCCAGACUCCUACGGGAGGCAGCAGUGGGGAAUAGUGCACAAUGGAGGAAACUCUGAUGCAGCGACGCCGCGUGAGUGAAGAAGUAAUUCGUUAUGUAAAGCUCUAUCAGCAGGGAAGAUAGUGACGGUACCUGACUAAGAAGCUCCGGCUAAAUACGUGC